GUCCACGGCCAUGCCACCCUGAACAAGCCCGAUCCCAUCUGAUCUCAGAAGUUAUGCAAGGUCAAGCCUGGUUAGUACUUGGAUUGGAGACCACCUAGGAAGACCAGGUGUUAUAGGCG
rnacentral:rRNA from 1 species